GUCCCUUUUCUUCUUUCAAAUACUCACACUCUCAUUCUCACUCUAGUUUGUAAUUAAGCAACCAUGAGAAACUCCAGACCCAUCAUUUUGUUUCCCUUGCUUUGCUUUCUCUCCUCCACCAUCUCAAUCUUAUGUGACCCAAACACUUUGGUUUGCAAUGAAAAAGAGAAACAUGCCCUUCUAAGAUUCAAGAAAGCUCUCUCUAAUCCUGGCAACCGGCUCUCAUCUUGGUCUGUCAAUCAAGAUUGUUGUAGAUGGGAAGCAGUUCGCUGCAACAACGUUACAGGGCGAGUGGUUGAGCUCCAUCUCGGUAAUCCAUAUGACGCGGAUGAUUAUGAAUUCUAUAGAUUGGGUGGUGAAAUUAGCCCUGCUUUGCUUGAAUUAGAAUUUUUGAGUUACUUGAACUUGAGUUGGAAUGAUUUUGGAGGUAGUCCAAUUCCAAGUUUCCUGGGUUCCAUGGGGAGUUUGAGAUAUCUUGACCUCACCUCUGUUGGAUUUGGUGGACUAGUCCCUCAUCAGCUUGGAAAUCUCUCGACUCUUCGUCACCUGGAUCUGGGAUAUAACAAUGGGUUGUACGUUGAGAAUCUUGGUUGGAUUUCUCAUCUUGCUUUUUUGAAGUACCUAGGCAUGAAUGGGGUUGACCUUCACAGGGAAGUCCAUUGGCUUGAAUCCGUGUCUAUGUUCCCUUCUCUUUCAGAGCUGCACUUGUCCGAUUGUGAACUUAAUAGCAAUAAAACUUCAUCUUUCGGGUAUGCCAAUUUCACAUCUCUCACAUUUCUUGAUCUUUCUGAGAACAAUUUCAAUCAAGAAAUACCAAAUUGGUUGUUUAAUCUCAGUAGUCUUGUGUCUCUAAGUCUAUUAGACAAUCAAUUCAAGGGGCAAAUUUCAGAGUCUUUAGGACAACUCAAAUAUCUAGAAUAUCUCGAUGUUUCUUUCAAUUCCUUUCAUGGCCCUAUUCCUACAUCCAUAGGAAACUUAUCAUCCUUGAGGUCUUUGGGUCUUUCUGAAAAUCAGUUGAUUAAUGGCACUCUUCCAAUGAGUCUGUGGUUUCUAUCCAAUUUGGAGAAUUUAAAUGUACGAGGGACUUCCUUAACAGGGACCAUAUCAGAAGUACAUUUUACAGCACUCUCAAAAUUGAAGGACUUAUUGAUAUCUGGAACAUCUUUAUCUUUCCAUGUGAACUCCAGUUGGACUCCUCCAUUCCAACUAGAGUAUCUGGAGGCGGAUUCCUGUAAAAUGGGUCCAAAAUUUCCUGCGUGGCUACAGACACAAAAGUCUCUUUUCUGUCUAGACGUCUCCAGGUCUGGAAUUGUGGACACAGCUCCAAACUGGUUCUGGAAGUUCGCUUCAUACAUCGAACAGAUCCAUCUCUCUAACAACCAGAUAUCUGGGGACUUAUCCCAAGUUGUACUAAAUAAUACUAUCAUUGAUUUGAGUUCUAACUGCUUCUCAGGUCGGUUGCCACGUCUGUCUCCGAAUGUUGUUGUGUUGAAUAUUGCUAACAAUUCAUUCUCGGGACAGAUUUCCCCUUUCAUGUGCCAAAAGAUGAAUGGAAGAAGUAAAUUGGAGGUCGUUGACAUAUCAAUUAAUGCUUUAUCAGGGGAACUUUCUGAUUGUUGGAUGCAUUGGUCGUCUCUUACUCAUGUAAGCCUGGGAAGCAACAAUCUAUCUGGUAAAAUUCCUAAUUCCAUGGGUUCUUUGGUCGGACUUAAAGCAUUGAGCUUGCAAAACAAUUCAUUCUAUGGAGAAAUACCCUCAUCACUAGAGAAUUGCAAGGUUUUGGGGCUGAUAAAUCUAAGUGACAAUAAAUUUUCGGGGAUUAUACCCAGGUGGAUUUUUGAGAGGACAACUCUAAUGGUUAUCCAUUUAAGAUCCAAUAAAUUCAACGGGCAUUAUUCCUCCACAAAUAUGCCAACUUUCUUCUCUUAUAGUGUUGGAUCUUGCUGAUAAUAGUCUGUCAGGAUCAAUACCCAAGUGCUUGAAUAAUAUCAGUGCUAUGGCUGCAGGACCUAAUUAUUAUAUUGGGUAUGAUGCUUUGGAAGUAGGCUAUCAUUUUUAUGAUGAAUCUUACAUGGAAAGUCUUGUUUUAGAUAUAAAGGGGAGGGAAUCAAAGUACGAAAAGAUUCUUAAAUAUGUGAGGAUGAUUGACCUUUCAAGUAACAAUUUAUCUGGAUCAAUCCCAAUUGAAAUCUCAAGUCUUUUUGGCCUGCUAUUUCUAAACUUCUCUCGAAAUCAUUUAAUGGGGAGGAUACCAGAGAAAAUUGGGGUGAUGGCAUCAUUAGAAUCUCUAGAUCUCUCGAGAAAUCAUCUUUCAGGUGAAAUUCCUCAGAGCAUGAGCAAUUUAACAUUUCUUGAUUACCUGGACCUGUCAUUCAACAACUUUUCUGGGAGAAUUCCUUCAAGCACCCAGCUUCAAAGCUUGGAUCCACUUUCUUUCUUUGGCAAUCCUGAACUGUGUGGAGCCCCUCUUAUGAAAAACUGCACAAAAGAUGAAGAGACUCUAGGUCCCACUGCUGUAGAAGAAAACAGAGAAUUUCCAGAAAUCUCAUGGUUUUACAUUGGCAUGGGAUCAGGAUUCAUUGUGGGGUUUUGGGGAGUUUGUGGAGCUCUCUUUUUCAAGAGAGCAUGGAGGUAUGCUUAUUUCCAGUUUCUUUAUGACAUCAGGGACCGGGCCUAUGUGGCUAUACCAAUAAAACUGAAGUGGUUCCACCAAAAGUUGAGAAGAUACCAUGCUGGAUGAUCUCCAAGGGAGUGUAUCAUACUCACAUGUUUCAACAACUUCAAUGGCAUGGCCAAAGAGCACUUUAUAGUAUUCAAAGUGGUAAUAUUAAUUUCGCAUUGCUGUAAUUAUCUUUUGUGUUGAAGUUUCUAUAUAUGUUAUUGCUGUUGUGUUACGAUAUUAAUUAAUAAUCUCUUUUAGGCACUGCUGCCAUGAAAAUGAAUUGAGUGUUGAUGCAUUUGUAGUCCUUUUUCUACAAUUUUAGGAAGAAACCUUUUGGCAGGAAUUGUAUCAGAAGUACAUUUUACCAAACUCUCAAACUUGAAGUACUUAGAGAUGUCUUGGACGUAUCUAACAUUCAAUGUGAGCUCAAAUUGGAUUCCUCCUUUUCAACUUCAAUAUAUGAAGAUUAUUUCUUGCAAGAUGGGCCCUAAGUUUCCAGCAUGGCUGCAAACACAAAGAUCUCUUCAGAGUCUAUACAUCUCCAACUCAGGAAUUGUGGACGCUGCUCCUAGCUGGUUGUGGAAGUGGGCUUCACAAAUUCCACAUGUCCUGCAUCUCUCUGAUAACCAGAUAUCUGGGGAUUUAUCUGAAGUUCUGCUGAAUAAUACUCAGGUCGAUCUGAGUUCUAAUUGUUUCACAGGCCAGUUACCACAUUUAUCACAGAACGUUAUCGAGUUGAGAAUUGCCAACAAUCCAUUUCCAAGACGGAUUUCCUCUUUCUUGUGCAGAAAGGUUAAUGGAGGAAGUAAAUUGGAGGUCCUCAAUUUAUCAAAUAACUCAUUGUCAGGGAAACUUUUGAAUUGUUUGAUGUAUUGGCCAUCUCUGACUCAUUUGAACCUUGGAGACAACAAUCUAUCUGGUAAAAUUCCCAACUCCAUAGGCUCUUUAUUUGCUCUCAAAGCAUUGCAUUUGUACACUAAUAGCUUCGUCAGAGAUAUACCAGUAUCACUGCAAAACUGUGCAUUUUUGGGCCUUGUGGAUUUAGCUGAAAAUAAAUUCUCAGGGAAUAUACCAAGUUGGAUAGGGGAAAUGUCCACUCUAAUGGCUCUCUCUUUAAGAUCCAAUAAAUUCAUUGGCAACAUUCCUCCACAAAUAUGCCAACUUUCUUCUCUUAUAGUGUUGGAUCUUGCUAAUAAUACAUUAUCAGGAGCCAUACCAAAUUGCAUAAACAAUUUUAGUACAAUGGCAAGAAUGGACACUGCAGUUGAUGAUAACUUCAAAGUUUUGUUUGAUUACAAUUACUUGAAGUACGAGGAUCUUUCCUUAGUGGUUAAAGGGAGGAAAUCAGAGUAUGACAGUAUUCUUGGACUGGUGAGGACAAUUGACUUUUCGAGUAACAAUUUGUCAGGAUCAAUCCCUACUGAAAUCUCAUGUCUCUCAGGGUUGCGGUUUUUGAACUUGUCUCAAAAUCAUUUAAUUGGAAGGAUACCAGAAAAAGUUGGGAGCAUGGAAACCUUGGAAUCUUUGGAUUUGUCAAGAAACCAUCUUUCAGGUGCAAUUCCUGAAAGCAUGACAAAUUUAUCAUUCCUUGAUCAUUUGGACCUGUCUUACAACAAUUUAUCACGAACAAUACCUUCAAGCAGUCAGCUUCAAAGCUUUGAUGCACUUAGCUUCAUUGGCAAUGAUGAACUUUGUGGAGCUCCUCUUACAAAAAAACUGCACAAAGAAGGAAGAUUUUCAAGGUGUGAACCACAUUGAAGAAAGCAGAGAAGACUUUGAACUGCCAUGGUUUUAUAUUGGUAUGGCUACGGGAUUCAUCCUGAGCUUUUGGGGAGUCUGUGGGGCUCUUUUAUUCAAAAGGACAUGGAGGCAUGCUUAUUUCAGGUUUCUUGAUGACACGAGAGACAAGCUCUAUGUGGCUACCAUGCUGAAGAUGAACUGGUUGUGCAAUCAUUUGAGAGGACACCAUUUGGUUUGAGAUGUUUAAGGGGUUGCAGCCAAGAGAGAAGGGAGGAAACGGAAGGUGGUGGAUCGUAAUUAAGAGACUUGAGGAAAACAUUCCAGGGCACAAAUGACCUCAUAACACGUCUCCAACUUCUGUGGCAUAGCCAAAGAUCAGUUCUCAAGUGUGUAGUAUUUGGAAUUGUAGUAAUUAUCAACUCGUUAAUGUUGUUUGCUGUUAUGUCAUAAAAAUAGGUGUUGCUGAUUGUUGUUAUAUCAUAAUGAAUUGAAGAUUCUUAUGUUUUUGUGGA